rnacentral:rRNA from 1 species
AGGAAAAGAAACUAACAAGGAUUCCCCUAGUAACUGCGAGUGAAGCGGGAAAAGCUCAAAUUUAAAAUCUGGCGGUCUUUGGCCGUCCGAGUUGUAGUCUGGAGAAGUGCUUUCCGCGCUGGACCGUGUAUAAGUCUCUUGGAACAGAGCGUCAUAGAGGGUGAGAAUCCCGUCUUUGACACGGACUACCAGUGCUUUGUGAUGCGCUCUCAAAGAGUCGAGUUGUUUGGGAAUGCAGCUCAAAAUGGGUGGUGAAUUCCAUCUAAAGCUAAAUAUUGGCGAGAGACCGAUAGCGAACAAGUACCGUGAGGGAAAGAUGAAAAGCACUUUGGAAAGAGAGUUAAACAGUACGUGAAAUUGCUGAAAGGGAAACGCUUGAAGUCAGUCGCGUUGUCCGGAACUCAGCCUUGCUUUCGCUUGGUGCACUUUCCGGAUGACGGGUCAGCAUCGAUUUUGACCGUCGGAAAAGGGCUGGAGUAAUGUGGCACCUCCGGGUGUGUUAUAGACUCUGGUCGCAUACGACGGUUGGGAUCGAGGAACGCAGCGCGCCGCAAGGCAGGGGUUCGCCCACUUUCGCGCUUAGGAUGCUGGCAUAAUGGCUUUAAACGACCCGUCUUGAAACACGGACCAAGGAGUCUAACAUACCUGCGAGUGUUUGGGUGGAAAACCCGAGCGCGUAAUGAAAGUGAAAGUUGAGAUCCCUGUCGUGGGGAGCAUCGACGCCCGGACCUGACGUUCUCUGACGGAUCCGCGGUAGAGCAUGUAUGUUGGGACCCGAAAGAUGGUGAACUAUGCCUGAAUAGGGUGAAGCCAGAGGAAACUCUGGUGGAGGCUCGUAGCGAUUCUGACGUGCAAAUCGAUCGUCAAAUUUGGGUAUAGGGGCGAAAGACUAAUCGAACCAUCUA